UGAAAUGGAACCUAGUGUAGGAAUUCUGCCA
rnacentral:piRNA from 1 species